ACAUGACUUGCUUUAUAGCCAGAUGGAAACAUGUUAUACAUUAACCAAAUGUCUGUGAAGUGUUUUCCAGUGCCUCAUUUCAUUUGAUCCUCACAGAAGUCCUGGAGCAUUAUAUAUUUUUAAAUGAGCAUCAAAGUAUAUGAAACAACUAGCAAAACUGAAGGCAAAUCCUAAAACAUAGUUGGAGCUGCUAACACUCCUUGAUAAAUCACAGAAAAAUACAGGUUACUCCCGAGGAGUUUGUAGGCCUGCAACAGGUCAGCACUUCCUUGGACUGGGCACCAAUCACAGCAGCGGCAAAAGAACAAAGAGAUUAAUGCCUCUGAAGGAGAAAAGAGAAUCUAAGAUUCAAUAGUCCUGAGUCUAAAUAAAUCAUUCUGUUCUUGAA